UUAUUUGUUGUCUAUCUCCCUCACUACAAUAUAGAUUCCAUAGGGGAAGGAGUCAUCACCAUCCUCUUUAUCACUUCAUCUCCAAUGUCUGGCACAAUUCCUGAUACAUAGUGAAUGUUCCAGAAACAUUUUUGUAUACAUGAAAUUAAUGAAAAAUAAAUAGACAUACAUUUUGGAGAGGUAGCUUUGAGAGCCUUGUGAACAAAUAAUUCAAGAAGAGACUUGUGACUGGCUAACCAGAUAGGGAACUAGUGAAAGUGAUAAAGGCCUGAAAUAGAUCAGUGUAAAAAAAUGAGGGGGAAAGAUGUUUUUAAAUGGACCAUAAAAGGCUAGAUAGAAGAAUUUGGCUGCUCUAUGAAGAAGUUUAUUGGAAAGAAGGAAG
rnacentral:lncRNA from 10 species